rnacentral:rRNA from 1 species
GCAAGUCGAGCGGACCGAAGGGAGCUUGCUCCUUUAGGUUAGCGGCGGACGGGUGAGUAACACGUGGGCAACCUGCCCUGCAGACUGGGAUAACUUCGGGAAACCGGAGCUAAUACCGGAUAACACCGAAAACCGCAUGGUUUUCGGUUGAAAGGCGGCAUUAGCUGUCACUGCAGGAUCGGCCCGCGUUGGAUUAGGUAGUUGGUGGGGUAAUGGCCUACCAAGCCGACGAUCCAUAGCUGGUUUGAGAGGAUGAUCAGCCACACUGGGACUGAGACACGGCCCAGACUCCUACGGGAGGCAGCAGUCGGGAAUCUUAGACAAUGGGGGCAACCCUGAUCUAGCCAUGCCGCGUGUGUGAUGAAGGCCUUAGGGUCGUAAAGCACUUUCGCCUGUGAUGAUAAUGACAGUAGCAGGUAAAGAAACCCCGGCUAACUCCGUGCCAGCAGCCGCGGUAAU